AGAGACCGGUGAAUCAUCGAAUCUUUGAACGCACAUUGCGCCCUUUGGUAUUCCAAAGGGCAUGCCUGUUCGAGCGUCAUUUGUACCCUCAAGCUUUGCUUGGUGUUGGGCGUUUUUGUCUCGGGUCCGCCCCGAGACUCGCCUUAAAAUCAUUGGCAGCCGGCCUACUGGUUUCGGAGCGCAGCACAUUUUUGCGCUUUGUCCAGUUGUGGUUUGCGUCCAUGAAGCGAAUAUUUUCAACGUUUGACCUCGGAUCAGGUAGGGAUACCCGCUGAACUUAAGCAUAUCAAUAAGCGGAGG
rnacentral:misc_RNA from 1 species